AUUGAACGCUAGCGGCAUGCCUUACACAUGCAAGUCGAACGGCAGCACGGGGGCAACCCUGGUGGCGAGUGGCGAACGGGUGAGUAAUGCAUCGGAACGUGCCAUCGAUGGGGGAUAACUGCGCGAAAGCGUUGCUAAUACCGCAUACGACCUACGGGUGAAAGCAGGGGACCGCAAGGCCUUGCGUCGAUGGAGCGGCCGAUGCCGGAUUAGCUAGUUGGUGAGGUAAAGGCUCACCAAGGCGACGAUCCGUAGCUGGUCUGAGAGGACGACCCAGCCACACUGGGACUGAGACACGGCCCAGACUCCUACGGGAGGCAGCAGUGGGGAAUCUUGGACAAUGGGCGAAAGCCUGAUCCAGCAAUGCCGCGUGUGGGAAGAAGGCCUUCGGGUUGUAAACCACUUUUGGCGGGAAAGAAAUGGUCUGUGCUAAUACCACGGAUUGAUGACGGUACCCGCAGAAUAAGCACCGGCUAACUACGUG
rnacentral:rRNA from 1 species